rnacentral:rRNA from 1 species
GUUGUAUGGUUAAGUGACUAAGCGUACACGGUGGAUGCCUUGGCAGUUGGAGGCGAUGAAGGACGUAUUAACUUGCGAUAAGCCUAGUCAAGCUAGUAAAAAGCACUUGAGACUAGGAUUUCCGAAUGGGGAAACCCACCUGCUUGCAGGUAUCGUUAACUGAAUACAUAGGUUAACGAGGCGAACGCGGAGAACUGAAACAUCUAAGUACCCGUAGGAAAAGAAAUCAACCGAGAUUCCGAUAGUAGCGGCGAGCGAAAUCGGAACAGCCCUUAAGCUUAUUAUGUGUUAAUGGAAGGCUCUGGAAAGUGCCACGAUACAGGGUGAUAGUCCCGUACAUGAAAACGCAUUUUAAGUGAAAUCGAGUAGGUCGGAGCACGUGAAACUUUGACUGAAUAUAGGUGGACCAUCAUCUAAGGCUAAAUACUCCCAACUGACCGAUAGUGAACCAGUACCGUGAGGGAAAGGCGAAAAGAACCCCUGUGAGGGGAGUGAAAUAGAACC